rnacentral:snRNA from 1 species
GGAUGUGACAGUGAGCCAGCUAUGUCAUCUGCCACCCCAAUGAUCACGAACAUUGACUCAGCUGAUUAGACUGGCUAGGCGGGUGUCCCCUUCCUCCCACAUCAUUCCGUGUGCAUCCCUCCCAAAGAGGACGACUUUCCCCAAAUGGAGAUGGAACAGUCUUUUUGUAAAAGGUGUAUGAGCAGUUGCACUCCCUUGCUAGAACCUCCAAACAAGCUCUUUAAAAAAUGACUGCUGAGAGCAGUGUAUGGGCAGUGUCGUCACCAAGCUGCAGCAGUGGU